rnacentral:sRNA from 1 species
AUCUUCAAGCGGGUACCGAGAUCCGAACUGCCUUUCAGGUAACUU